rfam:Salmo salar isolate Sally breed double haploid chromosome ssa21, whole genome shotgun sequence.
UGCAUUCACUACUGUAAGUCGCUCUGGAUAAGAGCAUCUGCUAAAUUACGUAAA